GUCCCAGUAGCUCAGCUGGAUAGAGCGACAGACUUCUAAUCUGUAGGUCGUGGGUUCGACUCCCUCCUGGGACGCCA
rnacentral:tRNA from 2 species